AACGCACAUUGCGCCCGCUAGUAUUCUGGCGGGCAUGCCUGUUCGAGCGUCAUUUCAACCAUCAAGCCCUUAGCUUGUGUUGGGGACCUGCGGCUGCCGCAGCCCCCGAAAUGCAGUGGCGGGCUCGUUGUCACACCGAGUGCAGUAAUUAUUCUUCUCUCCGGGCGUGGCGGCGGGUUCCAGCCGUGAAACCACUAAAUUUAUCAAGGUUGACCUCGGAUCAGGUAGGAAUACCCGCUGAACUUAA
rnacentral:misc_RNA from 1 species